GAUGAACGCUGGCGGCGUGCCUAAUACAUGCAAGUCGAGCGAACAGACGAGGAGCUUGCUCCUCUGACGUUAGCGGCGGACGGGUGAGUAACACGUGGAUAACCUACCUAUAAGACUGGGAUGACUUCGGGAAACCGGAGCUAAUACCGGAUAAUAUAUUGAACCGCAUGGUUCAAUAGUGAAAGACGGUUUUGCUGUCACUUAUAGAUGGAUCCGCGCCGCAUUAGCUAGUUGGUAAGGUAACGGCUUACCAAGGCAACGAUGCGUAGCCGACCUGAGAGGGUGAUCGGCCACACUGGAACUGAGACACGGUCCAGACUCCUACGGGAGGCAGCAGUAGGGAAUCUUCCGCAAUGGGCGAAAGCCUGACGGAGCAACGCCGCGUGAGUGAUGAAGGUCUUCGGAUCGUAAAACUCUGUUAUUAGGGAAGAACAAAUGUGUAAGUAACUAUGCACGUCUUGACGGUACCUAAUCAGAAAGCCACGGCUAACUACGUG
rnacentral:rRNA from 1 species